rnacentral:lncRNA from 1 species
AAAAGAUGAGUCGUAAAAUGAAAAACAUGAUAACUUUAUGUUGUAGGGGUGCCACGAGUAAGUCAAAAGGGGGAAUGGGAAAGAAGGAAAACAAGGGGAAGAAAAGGAAAGAGGGGGAACACAUGGAGUGAAAAGGGGGAUAAAAAAGGAAAGAAGGAAGAAGAAAAGGGAAGAAAGUUUUCAAUGUGAUGACAACCCAUUUGUGCGGCAAAAGAGGUUAACCAAUAGUGGGGUGCCGAAAUUAAAAUAAAAAGAAGGAUAGUUGACUCGAACUUGGGUCUCAAGGGAAGUUAUGCUUAUUCUUAACCACUAGGCUAGCACACGUU